UACGGGGGGGGCAAGCGUUGUUCGGAAUUACUGGGCGUAAAGGGCGCGUAGGCGGCCUUCUAAGUCGAACGUGAAAUCCCCGGGCUCAACCCGGGAACUGCGUCCGAUACUGGAAGGCUUGAAUCCGGGAGAGGGAUGCGGAAUUCCAGGUGUAGCGGUGAAAUGCGUAGAUAUCUGGAGGAACACCGGUGGCGAAGGCGGCAUCCUGGACCGGCAUUGACGCUGAGGCGCGAAAGCGUGGGGAGCAACAGG
rnacentral:rRNA from 1 species